rnacentral:rRNA from 1 species
GAUUAACGCUAGCGGCAGGCCUAAUACAUGCAAGUCGAACGGUAACAGGUGUAGCAAUACAUGCUGACGAGUGGCGCACGGGUGCGUAACACGUAUGCAACCUACCUAUAACUGGGGAAUAGCCUUCCGAAAGGAAGAUUAACACCGCAUAACAUCACGAAACGGCAUCGUUUUGUGAUCAAACCUCCGGGGGUUAUAGAUGGGCAUGCGUAACAUUAGGCUAGUUGGUGAGGUAAUGGCUCACCAAGGCUACGAUGUUUAGGGGGUCUGAGAGGACGAUCCCCCACACUGGUACUGAGACCAGGACCAGACUCCUACGGGGGGCAGCAGAAAGGAAUAUUGGACAAUGGGGGCAACCCUGAUCCAGCCAUGUCGCGUGAAGGAUGAAGGCCCUCUGGGUUGUAAACUUCUUUUGUACGGGAAUAAACCCCUUUACGUGUAGAGGGUUGAAUGUACCGUAAGAAUAAGGAUCGGCUAACUUCGUGCCAGCAGCCGCGGUAA